AUGGUAGUGAAUAAGUCUUAUAAGAUCUGAUGAUUUUAUAAGGGGUUUCCCCUUUUGCUUAGCUCUCAUUCAUUCCCUCUUGUCUGCUGCUACGUAAGACGUGCCUUUUGCCUUCUGCCAUGAUUGUGAGGCCUCCCCAGCCACUUGGAACUAGAUGGAGCCGGGCAGGACUAACCCUGCUGUGCAGAUGGAAUAAAAGGCAGGGACCUGUUCCACGAUGCUCCCAAGCUCAGAUCACAGCGAGCUAAAGGGAACCUGGGAGGUGGGUCUCCUAAGCCUCAGGCACAGGUCUCUGGAAAGGACACGCACUGGAUAGAAAAUUGGGAACAGUUUAUUUCAAACAACAAAAGCAGCCCACAGUCCUCAUGGAUGAACUUUGCAGAGGGCCUCACAGCCAGGAACUUCCUUUGACCCCUGGGUGGCCUCGACCAGACCCUUCUCAGUGGGAAUGGCCUUGGCUAUUUGUGAGUGAGCUGCCUGCCCAUUGCCCAUGGGUCAGUCCAUGGGUGGCUUGGGUCCUCUGUCCAGGGUGGCACCGACCUCAAGGCCAGUCACCUGGAGAUGGGGGCCAGGUUGUGCAGACUUGCUACCCGCUUCCUGGAGCAAACAGUUGGGGGUGAUCCCCAGAGGAGAUGUACACACAGCAUACUCCCAGCUAACGGCCUCAGCAUUCUUAUCGCUGCCCAGAUGAGGCCUAGUUAAUUACUGACCAGAGAACGGCGGCGACUGAAUCCCCGGCAUAAGCUGUUGCCUCUAAACGGUCCAGGGGGUCCUUGCAGCCUGGGGGCCAGUUUCUUUGCCCACCCUGCAAAGAGGUACAUUCACCAUUAACCACAGAAAGAAGGAUUUGCGUUCAGUUCAAGGAAGGCUUAUAAUUCUCCAGGGGUGUCCAGACCCUGGGAUGGGGCCUCCGGAGUCACAGAAUUUCUUCUUCAAAGCAGAGAAACAUGCCUGCCCAGCUCAGCAUGAUCCAGCUUCAGAGGCAGAGCGCCGAUGGAUGGGGUGUUUGGUCAGUGAACAAAGGGCAGCAUGUGUGGCUGGCUCCCUGGGCAAGUAACUUUCCCUGUCUGGCCUCGGUGUUCCCAUGUGUCAGAUGGGGAUGCUGGAGGACAUGAUUUCGAGGGUCCCUCAGUCCUUGCCUCAUCCCCCUUGUCUGGCCAUGCCCAAUUCUCCCUCUGCUCCUCAACCUACACCCUCUUUCUUAACCAGACAGGCAUCCUCCUGACCCUACUCCCCUCCUCUCCUCCACAAAGCCCUCUCUGCUUUCCUUCUCCUGUGCAAGCUCUGUCCAAGCUGCAAGAUCUGACCAAAUCACUUCUCCAGGAAGUCUGAAGCCACCUCUGGCUACACCAACGCUCAUGAAUCUCCCUCUCUCUGGGUGGUUCCACAUGCAAAGCCAAAACCUCUGAACUUCUUCCAGGUUUCUGGAAGAAUAACAGCCAAUACUAGAUAGCACUGCCUGUGUGCCAGGCACUGGAGCAAACAACGAGCACAUGUUAACACAUCUCAUCCUCAUAGCUCUGCUCUUAUUCCCAAUUUACAGAUGAAGAAAGUGAGUCCGGAGGGGUUAAGCAACUUGCCCACAGACACACAGCCAGUAUGUGGUGGCUGCAGUUGGCUUCAGAACUGUGCUACCCAGGAGGGCAGCCUCCAGCCCUGAGUGACCAUUGAGCACUAGAGAUGUGGCUGGUGUGAAUCGAGACAAGCUGUGAGUGUGUAAUGGACACCAGGUUUUGAAUGGUUGGUGUGACAAAAAGAAUGUACUAUAUCACAUUGAAAUUUUUAUAUUGAUUUCAUGGUGACAUAUUUUCCAUAUAUUGAGUUAAAUAAAAUAUAUUGUUAACACAAAAAAAAAAAAAAAAA
rnacentral:lncRNA from 1 species